AUUGAACGCUGGCGGCAGGCCUAACACAUGCAAGUCGAACGGUAGCACAGAGAGCUUGCUCUCGGGUGACGAGUGGCGGACGGGUGAGUAACGUCUGGGAAACUGCCCGAUGGAGGGGGAUAACUACUGGAAACGGUAGCUAAUACCGCAUAACGUCGCAAGACCAAAGUGGGGGACCUUCGGGCCUCACACCAUCGGAUGUGCCCAGAUGGGAUUAGCUAGUAGGUGGGGUAAUGGCUCACCUAGGCGACGAGCCCUAGCUGGUCUGAGAGGAUGACCAGCCACACUGGAACUGAGACACGGUCCAGACUCCUACGGGAGGCAGCAGUGGGGAAUAUUGCACAAUGGGCGCAAGCCUGAUGCAGCCAUGCCGCGUGUAUGAAGAAGGCCUCCGGGUUGUAAAGUACUUUCAGCGGGGAGGAAGGCGGUGGAGUUAAUAACUUCACCGAUUGACGUUACCCGCAGAAGAAGCACCGGCUAACUCCGUGCCAGCCGCCGCGGUAAGAC
rnacentral:rRNA from 1 species